GACGGAGACGCUGUAGAAGGUCCAUCAGUUGAAUGCGAUGUAGAACCUCCAGCUCAGACUCCUCCAGCUGCUAGCUGUGAGAGAGAAGCUGUAGAAGGUCCAUCAGUUGAAUGCGUAAGUAGAA